UACAGAGGUCUCAAGCGUUGUUCGGAUUCAUUGGGCGUAAAGGGUGCGUAGGUGGCGUCGUAAGUCGGGUGUGAAAUUUCGGAGCUUAACUCCGAAACUGCAUUCGAUACUGCGGUGCUUGAGGACUGGAGAGGAGACUGGAAUUUACGGUGUAGCGGUGAAAUGCGUAGAUAUCGUAAGGAAGAUCAGUGGCGAAGGCGGGUCUCUGGACAGUUCCUGACGCUGAAGCACGAAGGCCAGGGGAGCAAACGGG
rnacentral:rRNA from 1 species